rnacentral:sRNA from 12 species
CCUUUUUUCUAAUAAUUUGUCUUAGGGAGGCACUCUCCAAUGAACUAAGGCUACAUGUCUGUUAAUAGUGCUUUUUAAAAAAGCCAUAAAAUUCAAAAGUGACAAAUAGUAAUGAAAAUGAAACUUGAAACUUUGGUGAUUUACUUUAAAUUAAUAGACUACAUGUC